UAAGUGGUGGAAAUUAAACCAACUGGGAUCUCUUCAGUAAUUGCGCAUGAACCAGGAUAUGCUUAGCUUGACAAAUGGAGCUGCUGGCUCUGAAUUGUAUUGUGGGAAUGUAUUACCAACAGAGGUGCAGGUGUCAGCCAUUUGAAAGAAAGCAUCAAUGAGGGUGAGAGUCCUGUUUGUCAUGUGCAGCCUUCUGUGCACGGUGUAUAUUUGCUGAGUCACACUCCUUGGCAUUGGAAUGCAAAGUGGGUGGUAAGUUUCAUGCAAAGGUAAAUAUGCAAUUGAGACUGAUAGCGCACAAGUACCAUGAGGGACAUAUGAAAAGGACUUUGAAAAGAGAAUUAAAUGAGUUUGUAUUUGCUAAACACAAAGUAAACAGACUUGAUUUCCUCAGUGAGAUUGUAGUGCUUGCUUAACAAUGGGUUUUGGCUGCAAGUGCAAUAAUUCUUGCUUUGUGUGCCAGUUUUUAUGUGGACAUUUGAUUACCUUUGCACAUGAAUGGUAAUUUUCCUGCGGGGUGUGGAUUGCAUAUGCAUGUAAUGAUUUGCAUGUUUGUUAAAUGUGUCUGGUGUAUUUGUUUGUGUCCUUGUCCUUGAGGUUGCUUUCUCCCUUGGGCUUACAUGCCCUGGCACACACAUUCUGGCAAAAUGCUUCUGCUUGACCCG
rnacentral:rRNA from 1 species